AAAUUGUUGCUGCUGAGCCCAGCUGGUUCUCCAUGGAGAGUGACCACUCUAUGGAACAUCCUGUUGAAUAUGAAGAUGGAAAUCCAUCUGUUAAGCAAAGCCCAGAGCAGCAGGAGAGAGAAGACUCCCCUGCACCCAGCUGUGUCUCCUUGAAGAGUGACCACUCUAUGACACAACCUAUUCAAUUUAAAGAUGGAAAUCUUUCUAUUGAUCAAAGAUUCGCGCAGGAGAGAGCAGACUCCUGUGGAUCCAGCUGUGUGUCCAUGAAGAGUAACUGCUCUAUCGUUCAACCUCCUGAACUAAAAGAUGGAUGCCCAUCAAGACAGGAGAGGUAUCACAUCCAAAAAUCUGAGCAGA
ensembl:lncRNA